rnacentral:rRNA from 1 species
UACAGAGGGGGCAAGCGUUAUUCGGAAUUAUUGGGCGUAAAGGGCGCGUAGGCGGCCUGGCAAGUGGAAGGUGAAAUCCCUCGGCUUAACCGAGGAACUGCCCUCCAAACUGCUUGGCUUGAGACCGGGAGAGGUGAGUGGAAUUCCCAGUGUAGCGGUGAAAUGCGUAGAUAUUGGGAGGAACACCAGUGGCGAAGGCGGGUCUCUGGACAGUUCCUGACGCUGAGGCACGAAGGUCAGGGGAGCAAACGGG